GUCCAUCUGACGAGUCCCAAAUAAGACGAAGCGCCCAUCCUGGAU
rnacentral:hammerhead_ribozyme from 1 species